rnacentral:rRNA from 1 species
GACGAACGCUGGCGGCGCGCCUAAUGCAUGCAAGUCGAGCGACGCAUGCCCCUGGGUAACCACUAGGUAUGACGGAGCGGCGAACGGGUGAGUAACACGUGAGUAACCUGCCCCGAAGACUGGGAUAGCCCGGGGAAACCCGGAUUAAUACCGGAUACCCUCUCUGGAUCGCAUGGUCCGGUGAGGAAAGGCCUUUGUGCUUCGGGAUGGACUCGCGGCCUAUCAGCUUGUUGGUGAGGUAACGGCUCACCAAGGCAACGACGGGUAGCUGGUCUGAGAGGACGAUCAGCCACACUGGGACUGAGACACGGCCCAGACUCCUACGGGAGGCAGCAGCAGGGAAUCUUGUCCAAUGGGCGCAAGCCUGAGACAGCGACGCCGCGUGAGGGAUGAAGGCCUUCGGGUUGUAAACCUCUUUCAGGAGGGACGAAAUUGACGGUACCUCCAGAAGAAGCCCCGGCCAACUACGUG